rnacentral:rRNA from 1 species
GGCCUACACAUGCAAGUCGAGCGGAAACGAGUUAUCAGAACCUUCGGGGGACGAUAACGGCGUCGAGCGGCGGACGGGUGAGUAAUGCCUAGGAAAUUGCCCUGAUGUGGGGGAUAACCAUUGGAAACGAUGGCUAAUACCGCAUGAUGCCUACGGGCCAAAGAGGGGGACCUUCGGGCCUCUCGCGUCAGGAUAUGCCUAGGUGGGAUUAGCUAGUUGGUGAGGUAAGGGCUCACCAAGGCGACGAUCCCUAGCUGGUCUGAGAGGAUGAUCAGCCACACUGGAACUGAGACACGGUCCAGACUCCUACGGGAGGCAGCAGUGGGGAAUAUUGCACAAUGGGCGCAAGCCUGAUGCAGCCAUGCCGCGUGUGUGAAGAAGGCCUUCGGGUUGUAAAGCACUUUCAGUCGUGAGGAAGGUAGUGUAGUUAAUAGCUGCAUUAUUUGACGUUAGCGACAGAAGAAGCACCGGCUAACUCCGUGCCAGCAGCCGCGGUAAUACGGAGGGUGCGAGCGUUAAUCGGAAUUACUGGGCGUAAAGCGCAUGCAGGUGGUUUGUUAAGUCAGAUGUGAAAGCCCGGGGCUCAACCUCGGAAUUGCAUUUGAAACUGGCAGACUAGAGUACUGUAGAGGGGGGUAGAAUUUCAGGUGUAGCGGUGAAAUGCGUAGAGAUCUGAAGGAAUACCGGUGGCGAAGGCGGCCCCCUGGACAGAUACUGACACUCAGAUGCGAAAGCGUGGGGAGCAAACAGGAUUAGAUACCCUGGUAGUCCACGCCGUAAACGAUGUCUACUUGGAGGUUGUGGCCUUGAGCCGUGGCUUUCGGAGCUAACGCGUUAAGUAGACCGCCUGGGGAGUACGGUCGCAAGAUUAAAACUCAAAUGAAUUGACGGGGGCCCGCACAAGCGGUGGAGCAUGUGGUUUAAUUCGAUGCAACGCGAAGAACCUUACCUACUCUUGACAUCCAGAGAACUUUCCAGAGAUGGAUUGGUGCCUUCGGGAACUCUGAGACAGGUGCUGCAUGGCUGUCGUCAGCUCGUGUUGUGAAAUGUUGGGUUAAGUCCCGCAACGAGCGCAACCCUUAUCCUUGUUUGCCAGCGAGUAAUGUCGGGAACUCCAGGGAGACUGCCGGUGAUAAACCGGAGGAAGGUGGGGACGACGUCAAGUCAUCAUGGCCCUUACGAGUAGGGCUACACACGUGCUACAAUGGCGCAUACAGAGGGCGGCCAACUUGCGAAAGUGAGCGAAUCCCAAAAAGUGCGUCGUAGUCCGGAUUGGAGUCUGCAACUCGACUCCAUGAAGUCGGAAUCGCUAGUAAUCGUGGAUCAGAAUGCCACGGUGAAUACGUUCCCGGGCCUUGUACACACCGCCCGUCACACCAUGGGAGUGGGCUGCAAAAGAAGUAGGUAGUUUAACCUUCGGGGGGACGCUUACCACUUGUGGUCA